AUUGAACGCUGGCGGCAUGCCUUACACAUGCAAGUCGAACGGCAGCACGGGUGCUUGCACCUGGUGGCGAGUGGCGAACGGGUGAGUAAUACAUCGGAACAUGUCCUGUAGUGGGGGAUAGCCCGGCGAAAGCCGGAUUAAUACCGCAUACGAUCUACGGAUGAAAGCGGGGGACCUUCGGGCCUCGCGCUAUCGGGUUGGCCGAUGGCUGAUUAGCUAGUUGGUGGGGUAAAGGCCUACCAAGGCGACGAUCAGUAGCUGGUCUGAGAGGACGACCAGCCACACUGGGACUGAGACACGGCUCAGACUCCUACGGGAGGCAGCAGUGGGGAAUUUUGGACAAUGGGCGAAAGCCUGAUCCAGCAAUGCCGCGUGUGUGAAGAAGGCCUUCGGGUUGUAAAGCACUUUUGUCCGGAAAGAAAUCCUUGGCCCUAAUACAGUCGGGGGAUGACGGUACCGGAAGAAUAAGCACCGGCUAACUACGUG
rnacentral:rRNA from 1 species